rnacentral:rRNA from 1 species
CUCGUAGGUGGUUUGUCGCGUCGUCUGUGAAAUUCCGGGGCUUAACUUCGGGCGUGCAGGCGAUACGGGCAUAACUUGAGUGCUGUAGGGGAGACUGGAAUUCCUGGUGUAGCGGUGAAAUGCGCAGAUAUCAGGAGGAACACCGAUGGCGAAGGCAGGUCUCUGGGCAGUUACUGACGCUGAGGAGCGAAAAGCAUGGGUAAGCAAACA